CGCUGGCGGCGUGCCUAAUACAUGCAAGUCGAGCGAAUCAAUAGGAGCUUGCUCCUGUUGGUUAGCGGCGGACGGGUGAGUAACACGUGGGCAACCUGCCUGUAAGACUGGGAUAACUUCGGGAAACCGGAGCUAAUACCGGAUAAUCCUUUUCCACACAUGUGGGAAAGCUGAAAGUCGGUUUCGGCUGACACUUACAGAUGGGCCCGCGGCGCAUUAGCUAGUUGGUGAGGUAACGGCUCACCAAGGCGACGAUGCGUAGCCGACCUGAGAGGGUGAUCGGCCACACUGGGACUGAGACACGGCCCAGACUCCUACGGGAGGCAGCAGUAGGGAAUCUUCCGCAAUGGACGAAAGUCUGACGGAGCAACGCCGCGUGAGCGAUGAAGGCCUUCGGGUCGUAAAGCUCUGUUGUUAGGGAAGAACAAGUAUCGGAGUAACUGCCGGUACCUUGACGGUACCUAACCAGAAAGCCACGGCUAACUACGUG
rnacentral:rRNA from 1 species